UUCCGGUUGAUCCUGCCGGACCUGACUGCUAUCGGAUUGAUACUAAGCCAUGCGAGUCAUUGUAGCAAUACAAGGCAGACGGCUCAGUAACGCGUAGUCAACCUAACCUAUGGACGGGAAUAACCUCGGGAAACUGAGAAUAAUGCCCGAUAGAACACUAUACCUGGAAUGGUUUGUGUUCCAAAUGAUUUAUCGCCGUAGGAUGGGACUGCGGCCUAUCAGUUUGUUGGUGAGGUAAUGGCCCACCAAGACUAUUACAGGUACGGGCUCUGAGAGGAGUAGCCCGGAGAUGGGUACUGAGACACGGACCCAGGCCCUAUGGGGCGCAGCAGGCGAGAAAACUUUGCAAUGUGCGAAAGCACGACAAGGUUAAUCCGAGUGAUUUGUGCUAAACGAAUCUUUUGUUAGUCCUAGAAACACUAACGAAUAAGGGGUGGGCAAGUUCUGGUGUCAGCCGCCGCGGUAAAACCAGCACCUCAAGUGGUCAGGAUGGUUAUUGGGCCUAAAGCAUCCGUAGCCGGCUCUGUAAGUUUUCGGUUAAAUCUGUACGCUUAACGUACAGGCUGCCGGGAAUACUGCAGAGCUAGGGAGUGGGAGAGGUAGACGGUACUCGGUAGGAAGGGGUAAAAUCCUUUGAUCUAUUGAUGACCACCUGUGGCGAAGGCGGUCUACCAGAACACGUCCGACGGUGAGGGAUGAAAGCUGGGGGAGCAAACCGGAUUAGAUACCCGGGUAGUCCCAGCUGUAAACUAUGCAAACUCAGUGAUGCAUUGACUUGUGGUCAAUGCAGUGCUGCAGGGAAGCCGUUAAGUUUGCCGCCUGGGAAGUACGUACGCAAGUAUGAAACUUAAAGGAAUUGGCGGGGGAGCACCACAAGGGGUGAAGCCUGCGGUUCAAUUGGAGUCAACGCCGGG
rnacentral:rRNA from 1 species